GUCAUGGAGCUUCUGGGGCUCCCGCGGCAUAGAGAGGUGUGGGAAAGAAUAGUGCCUUUCUGCUCCCUUUCUUCUAGCUUGAAACUGAGUCCUGUGAGGACAGGACGGCUGCCACACUAACCACCCCAUUGGGAAUGCUGGAGUAAGACCAUUGAACCUCCGCGAGAUUAAAGCUGUGAUUCAGUAGAAGGAGCACAGGAUUUGGAAGAACUACUACCCACCCAACUCUGCAACCGUCCAAACACCAUGCAAGUUUGAGUACUAGCCCCGCACUUGAGGGAGUCGAUUAACCUGUUUGAGCGGUAGUUUCCUUGUACGUAAAGGCCCGCUGGACCUCUGGAACUGGUUUUGUGAGUCCGUGUUCAUUUUAAUUCCAUUAGCAAACUUGGACUUGCUCAUGCUGACUACUGAUUCUUGAUGACAAAGUGAAAACGGAUGCAAAGUUUUACAGCAAGUUUGUAACCUGUAAGGGGACGCUGUCCCUCCAGCAAGGCCCUUAAAAAGCAAGCUCUCAGAGGCUGGUUACUGGAUGCCAACGUGCGGGGCCAGAAAGACCAUCUAACAAAAGCGGUUUAAAAGAGACUUGACAACGGUGUUUUACCCAGAGCAAAGUGUGCCCAAACAUUUCAAACCAGAGCUGUCGACAAAGAAUGUGUUUGCAAACCAGACAGAAUUUAAAAUAAACUUCAGCCGGCAAAUGAUAAACCUUCCCUAAAAAGCUCCCUGCCUGCACUCAAAGCAGCUCAAAAUCCAGAAAAGGACAAUGGGUCACAGACGGAUUGGCCGUCUCAGGUGUGGAUGAAUGAUGUGGAAGCCAGAUGAUGGGGUUAGAAAAGAAGGCUGUACUUCUAUCCGGAAAAGGCACCGUCAGAUCGAAACCAAGACAUCUAUCUCACGUCCAGUUUAAAGUACAUCCCAUCUCCGGGCGCCUGGGUGGCUCAGUCGGUUGAGCGUCCGACUUCGGCUCAAGUCAUGAUCUCGCGGUUUGUGAGUUUGAGCCCCACGUCGGGCUCUGUGCUGACAGCUCGGAGCCUGGAGCCUGCUUCGGAUUCUGUGUCUCCCUCUGGCUCUGCCCCUCCCCUGCUCAUGCUCUGUGUCUCUCUGUCUUUCAAUAAUAAAUAAACGUUAAAAAAAUUUUUUUAAGUA